rnacentral:rRNA from 1 species
CCUACGGGUGGCUGCAGUGAGGAAUAUUGGUCAAUGGGCGCGAGCCUGAACCAGCCAAGUCGCGUGAGGGAAGACGGUCCUAUGGAUUGUAAACCUCUUUUGUCGGGGAGCAACAGACGCCACGCGUGGCGUUCCGAGAGUACCCGAAGAAAAAGCAUGGGCUAACUCCGUGCCAGCAGCCGCGGUAAUACGGAGGAGGCGAGCGUUAUCCGGGUUUAUUGGGGUUAAAGGGUGCGAAGGCGGUCUGGAAAGACAGCGGGCCAAACCCGGGGCUCAACCCCGGCCCGCCGUUGAAACUGGCAGUCUCGAGUUGGAGAGAAGUAUGCGGAAUGCGCGGUGUAGCGGUGAAAUGCAUAGAUAUCGCGCAGAACUCCGAUUGCGAAGGCAGCAUGCCGGCUCCACACUGACGCUGAGGCACGAAAGCGUGGGUAGCGAACAGGAUUAGAUACCCGGGUAGUC